UGAGCAAUCUGCCCUUCUCUUCGGAAUAAGCGUUGGAAACGACGUCUAAUGCCGAAUACGACCUCCUUUCGCAUGAUCGGAGGUGGAAAGCUCCGGCGGAGAAGGAUGAGCUCGCGGCCUAUCAGCUAGUUGGUGUGGGUAAUAGCCCACCAAGGCGACGACGGGUAGCCGGCCUGAGAGGGUGUCCGGCCACACUGGGACUGAGAUACGGCCCAGACCUCCGUACGGGAGGNAGCG
rnacentral:rRNA from 1 species